AUAAUGUGGGAAGUCAUCCCUAAUCACCACGUACAUGUACCUGAUUUUGUGUAAAUGUGUUAAUAACUCAGAUACUGGUGCACUUCCAGCUGGCAAACACGAAUGAGCUGUCAGGAAGACUGGAUUAUUUCUGAGGCUAUAAAAUCAAAGGCAGCCAUCAUUCACACUAGCUUGUGUACUCGAAACAAUAGCUGUUACGUUCAAAGCCUGUAGAAACUAGAAACAGAGGUUGUACAUCAUUCUAUCAGUGACUGGCAGGCAGUGUGUCAGUAAGCAUUUUUCACUGCUUCAGACUAGAUGUGUCACAAUAAUGUAUGAGAAAGGAAAGACCCCUAAAGAAAAUUAAAGAUAUCAAUCAGGAA